UUGAAUUGUAAAUUGUAAAUUAUACGAAAUACAAUUAUAACAAAGUAUACAUGAUAGAAAUGUAUCUUCUUAGUCCUAUUUAGGGUACAGUUUCUGUGGCAUUAAGUAGAAUUUCACUGUCUUUCGAUCACCAUCCAUCUACAGAACGUCUUCGUUACACCAAACUGAAGUUAAAAGUCCCUGAGUAUUAAGGCCACUCCGCGAAGCAGAAUCACAUUGCUGAUACAGAGUUCGAGGGUCUGAAGUUUUCCCAUGGAGCACAGCACCAAAGGCAUGGCCUUUUUCUACAGAGCUUCUGCUGCAGGCUUCUUUCUGGUUCAGAGGUCAGUCUUUGUUCUACUCGGGCCUUCCUCAGAUUGGAUGAAUCACCCACAUUAUGGAGGGCGAUUAGCCUCAUUCCGAGCCCCACAUUUAUGUGAGUUACAUUCCAAGCAUACUUCAGAAAUGCCCAGAAAAGCGUUUAACUGAAUAUCAGGUCCCCUUGGCUCAGUUAAAUGGACACACAGGAUCAGCUAUCAUAGCAGAGAGGAAGGAGGUGAUGUCACUUUGUUUCUAAAUGAGGAAGCUUUGGCAUGGGCUAGAUUGAUUUUAACAACAGAGCUUUCUGUGGAAAUGGUCUGAGAAAUGUCUCUUAUUAACAGCGGCUGGAUUUUCUAGUGGAAAAGGUCAAAAGGGAGAGAGAGGCACCGUGCGGGUUUCAGCUAUGGGUGCUCAUGCGAUGCCCACAGAAGGGAGCCCCAGCUGAGGGAAAUGAGCUUCUCCGCCCAGACCCAGCUGGUGGCUCCUGUUUGAAGCAGUCUGAGCAGGCUGAGGGCUUCUGCACCACAAUGCAUCCCAGUGCCCUCUCCCUGUGCCUCCCAUACAGAGUGACUGGAGACCAUCUGAGAGAAGACGUCUACCCUUUCCCAAGCCUCGGCAGCAGUGUGCACUCUGUGGCUUUUGCUAGUGCUUCCAAGACCAUGGCUGAACUUUGAAGAUAGCUAUAAGUGGAUUUUCUGUGUUCCCAUCAGGAACAUAAUAACUAUUUGACGAAGACAUGUUAAUCAUCAGCAAAACAUUGUGCAGUGCAUGUGAAUGUCUAAAUAUCAUGCUUUGUGUAACAAAUGCGAUUUUUGCUUAUCAGUUACAAAGUAAAAGUUUGCCAAGUGUUUCA
rnacentral:sRNA from 1 species